ensembl:lncRNA
GGUGUUGAUGCAGACAAAUGAAAUAACUUAAGGAUCUGCGAAGUUCCUGUUCUUUAGAUGCCUCAAUGUAACUAUAAACUCCAUGAAUAGUUGAGCUUUGUGCAACUUGUCCAGCUUGCAGAUGUUUUUGGCGACGAUGUUUGGAGGCUGUAAUCUCAUGCUUAGUUGGUGCAGUACAGUUGAAAUGCACACAGCGAUAGAUUUUCCUUCUCCUUAGUGCUUUCCACGCUCACUGCUUUGACAGUAAUGGAGCUUCUAAUUAAGAUCUCGCAGCUUCAAUUCGUGCAAUUGAUGAAAUGUUCCAAUAUGCUCUAUGUGCAGAUUGCAUAGAAGGGCAGAUCAAAUCUAAAUGGAAACAGAGAAGGUUUUAUCACCUUGGGGUAAUUGCAUGUAGCGUGCAGCCGUUGAAAUUAGAUGUGACAAAAGCGGUUGUCUCUGUUGUCACUCAGAGCAGCUGUGGGUCACGGGGCACAGGUCUGUGAAAGCAGGGGUGACCAGGCCUGUCUGCUCCUUGACAAACAGUCUGAACUGUGUGCUCACAGUAGUGCUUGCUGUGUUUGUGUCCAGAAGCCUGUCAAGCUGACUUCUAGGGACCCUGGCCCUUCUUAUUCCCAUUAUAGUGCCCCUUGGUCCCCAGAAAGGGGCUUUCCUUUGGGGUGCUCAGCUCUUGCUUUGCUGUUUAAACAUCAGCCUUAUUUUAUGAUAGUUCUUGCUGAAGUUUGCACACUAUCUGAAAGCUUUAGCAAGUAUCCAAACCAAGGAUACUUGGUGGGAGUUGAACCCUAUUGCUGAUGCGAAUCUCUUUUCUGCUCUUUCCAGUGGCAAGCUUUAUUCUGCCAAUGUGUUCUUACCUAUGGUUUACCCAAUGUUUGUCUUUCCUGCAGAGCUGUGUGCCUGUUUGUCUAAAUGCUCCUCAGUGAGGCUUUGUUGCUCUCCAGCUCAGAGCCGGUUAGAGCUGUGGAACCGACCGCAGCCUGGGCCUGUACUGUGGUAGGAAGGGAGCACAGCUAAACUCUUGAGGACAAAAGACAAUGAAUGGACAGUAUAUAGUAAGGUUUUUUGUGAGCUGCUCAGCUCUUCCAAGUGGGGGAGGAAAAGGAUCAAAAGUGAGGAAUAUUAAAGACAAAUUGAAGCUGAUGUUUGAACUACCAGUCCAGGAAACUCCAGAUACAAACUGAAUGGAAAGUUUUCCUCUGAAGUCUACAAAGAAUUUUCAAGGACAAAUCUGAAUGGAGAACAGCAAGGAUUUUCAUCUUUGUGUACUGGAACGAAGUAGUCACUGGCAGCUGGAAAAGAAACUUCAGAUUCUUGGCAGUAAACAAAAAAAAAAGGGUCCAGCUCAGAGGCUGGGGCUGAGUAGAUUUAAAGGCUUUGAGGGGCAAAUCUAAUGGUUUGGGUACAUACAAUAGAACACAUUUAUGAAAAUGAUGACGUGGGAAAUGAAAUGUAUUAGUUAGGGCUUCAAAAUACGUAUACCUGCAUUUGGGUUCUGUGAGUACAUUUUCAGGCUGGAACAAUGCCUGAAAAUAUCUCAAACACAUUGCUUGCGCUUCAGGUUGCAGUCUGUCACUUAACUUUAAAAGAGUCAUGGAUGAUGUGCUCUGAGGUUUACAGAGAGCAAAAUCCUGGUAGGGCAGGUGUUAGGGAUGGACUCGUGCGUCCUUGAAGUGCUCCCCUCCCGCUGCAUCCCUUCCUGAACUUCUAAGGAACUCCACAAGCCUGGAUCCAUUUCAGUUCAGAUUCACCUGAAAUAAAGGUGAAUGUAUAUAGCCGUCGCCAGCAGGGUGAGGUCGUCUGCCUUAGCUUUCUAGGGUGGUUUUUAAUGUCUGAAUUUGGACUGAGACAUCAGAAGAGAUGUGCAAGGGAAGAAAGAUUCAUUUUAUUUCAAGCAGGAACAUGGACGUUUUUGUUAAUUGUCUUCUAGGACUUAACCUAUACACGACCUCAUUCUGGGAAACGUGCUCAAAUAGAACAGAAGUUUUCAAAAAAUCAUUUUAUUUUGGAUUUUUUUUAAUUGUAUUUUAAAUUUACAACCAGUUUUAAUAGUAACACACAGGUUUCAGGCAUAGACAAGUACUUCACAUUUUAGUGAAAACAAAACCCUUUUGUGGAAAUAUUCUCUACUUGAAUGAGCUGUUGGGAACUGCAGUUGGAUCCAGACUGGUAUUUGCCCGUGGACAGUGGAGGUGAAUCUGCAGCACAGGCUCAGGAACUCAGGUGGGAUAUGGGAGGCUGAGCUGUAUGUCUCUGUUCUGCCUCGUUCCCCAAGGAAAGCAGUUCUUGAGAUCUUGACAUCUUUUAACAAACAAGAAAAAACACCAGCCUGUGUGUGCUGCCCAUCCACUCUAACUUCCCAUAUUCUUUUAUUCUGACAGACUUCACUCCAUUGCUUGUUCAUGGACAAGGCAAUAGUGUUAUACUUGGAAGGCUUUGACAUACAGCCUCCUCGAAAGUGUAUUUUCUGAACUGAAUCCUCUUACUCUCAUUUCUGAAGUAGAAGCAUCCAGUUAUGCUUGGGAUACUAUUUUUUUGUGUGUGUGCAAAGGGUUGUGGUAGAAAAGAGGAAUAAGAGCUGACCGUACACAGAAAAGAAAGUAGGAAGGCGAGUAGAAAGUAGGAAAGUAGAAAGUUGAGGAGAAUUUUUUGAGAGAGCCAAAAGAACCAACUUAAUCCCAGCUGAUGCUGUCGGCCCUAUGGAGAUCAACAUUCAACAGCCAGGGCUGCCCUGUUCUGUGGCUGUGUACUGCUAUUGGUCUGCAGCUCCUGCUCCGAGGAGCUCGUCUGAUCCCACUGGGGGGAGUUCAGUACCAACUCUCAGCUGAUGUUCCAUGCCUUGGGUUUUGUAGCUGUGGUGGUUGAAAUCUGCCAACAGCAGAGCACUACACAGCUGUGCACUUGUGUUCAGAUUAAAAAAAAAUUACUUACUAAGACCAAAAAGGAAGAGAAAAGGAAAAUAGUACUGAUAAUAACGUAUAUUUGUAAAAUAAGUGAUGCAUAAUGCAAUUGCUGACUGAUGCCCUGAGCAGUGUCUGCCUCCCCUGGCCAGCUCCUGUCUCCAUGGUGUCACAAGGUAUGGAAUAUCCCUUUGGGCAAAUUAGGUCAGCUCUCCUGCCAGUGUCCCCUCCCAGCUCCUUGUGGCUUGCUGGCAGGACAGUAUGAGAACCUGAAACGUCCUUGGCUCUGCAGAGCAACAACUAAAACAUUGGUGUGUUAUUAACACUGCUUUUAUCCUAAAUCCAAAAUGUAGUAUCGUAUCAGACAACGUGGGUAAAAAAAAAAAAAAAAUCAACCAGCUGAAACAGGACAGGAGCCAAGGAACUAAAUGAUGGAAAAGAAUAGGGUGAAGGAGGUGGAUGUCCAGGCAGACAGUUCUAGAAACAGGCCCAUGGAAAGGCUUAUCUGAAGCAAUCUGAGAAUGGCUUGAGUAGAGAGAAGGCUUGGGAAAUGAAGAAAACAUUGUCCAACAGGAAGAGCAGGAGGAGCUGCUGGAGGUGAUGUGCAGCUCCCUGAGUGAGGAGUCCCCACAGUGCCUGCGCAAAAGGAUUUCAGUGCUGAUGCUGUUCUGGUACAGCAAAAGUUUGCUUUUCUUCUUUGCCACUCUGUGCAGAGAAAAAGCAAUCUAAGAUCCAGAGAAUUAAAAGAAAUCAAAUGUUUUCCUCAGUUUUCUUCAGGGCCCUUCAAGGGGGAGGACAGGUAGUAUGGCACCCCAUGCCACCCCUUCUGCCUGCACUGUGGCUGUAUGCCAGUGCAGGGUGUGUCCUUUUGGUUCCAUUGCAGUACACUGCCUCCAGGUAAAACUGAGAAUAAUUGGAGAUAAUGAUAUAGUAGUAACAACUAAAUCUUCUUGCAGUCCCAAGCACAGGUUGGGUGGAGAAUCGUCUGAGGUCAGCCCUGAGGAGAAGGAUUUGGGAGUGUUAGUUGAUGAAAGAUUCAACGUGAGCUGGAAAUGUGCACUUGCAGCCCAGAAGGCCAACUGUAUCCUGGGCUGCAUCAAGAGAAGUGUGACCGGCAGGUCGAGGGAGGGGAUUCUGCCCUUCUACUCUGCUCUCACAAGACCCCACCUGGAUUGGUAUUGCAUCCAGUUCUGGGGACCCCAACACAAGAAGGACAUGGAGUUGUUGGAGCACCUUGGAGCACCUCCUCUAUGAGGACAGGCUGAGAGAGCUGGGGCUCUUCAGCCUGGAGAAGGGAAGGCUCCAGGAGGACCUUAUAGCAGCCUUCCAGUACCUGAAGGGGUCUACAGGAAAGCAGGGAAGGGACUUUUUAUAAGGAUAUGUAGUGACAGAAUGAGGGGAAAUGGAUUUAAACUGGAAGGGGGUAGAUUUAGACUAGAUAUCAGGAAGAAAUUCUUACUGUAGGGAUGGUGAGAUGCUGGAACAAGUUGCCGUGUUUUCUAAUUCAGGACUAUGUUGCUGGAAAAGCAGAAGUGAUUUUUCUGCUUUAGAUCAAUGUGAAUGCUGUAUUCUGCUUAAUCUCCCUGUUCAUUUGGGAUUCAGGCCAUAGUUAAGGCGGUCUGAAGUGUUUUUGCAGCUAGCUAGUCCAUAAAGUACAGCACAUUUGGCCUAUUUUUGGAGGUUCUUUGAGGCAGAGAUGUUUACAACGGUUGCAUAAUGGACAGGACUUCUUUUGUAAAAAUCCUCCUCGUGUGCCAGCAUCUGGUUUCUGCAAUCUCACUGCUAAUCAGCCUGGAGGUUUUAGAAACUUUCCUUUUAUUUUAUUUUUUGGGUUUUAUUUUUUUGCCUGUCAUGUUCCCUGCUGUUGGAGGUGGGGAGAGGUGAGGCCUUCAGACCUGGCAGUAGCACAAAGCUGCUGCUUGCAUUUUUAGAGCUCUGGCCCUAAGCAGUCCAGCUGACAGAGGCCUGCUAUGUUUGCAUUUUGCAUUUUGCUGGCACUUUUCAAGUUAUUCUUGUCACCCUCUGAAUACCCUCUUUGCCCCACUGUAUUCUAGAGGGCAUGUUAGAAAAGCAGCACCAAAGGAUGAGAUGAUAAAGUCAGACCAUCUUAGAUGGCUUUCUGUGGAAGGCACUGGGACCCCAUGUCCCUUUGGUACAGGAAAGGGAAAUCUUUUAUUUGAAGAAGGCUGCAGAGAGUUUUAAAUACUAGAGCUUUGGGGAGAGCCUAUUUCACAUUUUCAUUUUGAUUAAAUUUAGCAUUGCUCAUUUUUCUGUCAAAAUUUAUAUGUUUAGGCAAUGAAUUUGAUACGCUCAGGAGAUGUGGAUCAUUUCACUUUCUGUGGUUCUUAUAAUGAAGGGUCAGGAGGAGGCAAGGCUUGGUAGCUGGCAGUACAGGGAAGUCCUGGCUUGUCUGGCACUGCAGCAUCCCAUCCAUCUGCCCAGGAUUUCUGUCUGUGUUCAGCUCAGUUAAGCAACGUGAUGGUGUUGAUUUCUGUCUGCAACAGAGGGGAUUGCGCUGGGCAGGUAUUUUGUAUUGUGCCGUCCUGCUGGGUUUUUUUUCAGUUGCUCUUUCAGAAGCUCCGAGCUCUUGCCCAGGAUAAACAACCACACUGUGCUGCUGAGUACUGUGCUUGGAACCUUCACACCCAAAUGCAGUCGUUCUAAGGAACAGCUUUGCUCUGUGGACAGACUCCUUCCUUCUGUGAGUAACAGGGUGGAUAGAGAGACAGAUUAACCUUGCACUAUACUAAAGCAACUGUAGGAACAACAAAAUGAGUGUUCACAGCUCAGGAAAAUCUGGAAUUUCAAAUAAACCCACUGCAUUGACCCAGGCACAGUUUGGCAGUUGUUGCUACAGGGUGUUCAAAUUAAACAAUGAGGUUCCUGGUGUGAUGGAAAAGACUUUGCAAAGCACAUUGGUUCCUCCAGGAUCCAAAUGCACUUUCCCUUUCCAAGGGGAGCUGUGGGCAUUUGGAUCCUUGCAGAGAAGUUCCUGAGGCCCUCUAUCAGCAAAACACUUUUAAGCAUGUCCUUAAGCACUUUGUUGAUGAAGGGGAGACAUGAACUCUUAAUUAUCUGUGCUGAAUAAUAAUCUGAGAGGUUACUUGAGUAUCUUUUCUAACACUUAUACUCUAGCUCUGCCCCAAAAGGCUGAGCCCAAGAGGCCAGUGCUUUACCCUCCGGCUGCAUUUGCCUUCUGUGAACGCGCUCACUAGCCUUCAAGUAAAUGGGGCCGAUAUCUGUCUCUCUGUAGGAAUUUUGCCUGUCCUGAGUGCUUACCAGCUUAGAAGAAUAGACAUUGUGCCUUAUUCAGCUUUAACGGGAGCAGUGUCCAUCUUAUCCAAAUACCGCCGAGUGGGGGGUUAUUAAAUCAUCUGAAGGAAAAAUGAAGAAUGAAGCUAGAAGGGGAUCUGGCUUUCCCUUUCACAUGCUCACAUCUGUAGCAGAAGUGUUGGUGGAUGCCUCAGCCCUACGGCACAGCUGGCACUUUGGAGCCCUUCAUGGGAGGCAAAGAAAGAAAGAAAAGAAACACCCCCAUUCCCCCACCAAAGCAGCGAGUGAUUGCAGCUGUUCUCGAGAAGGGUUGUGUCAGCACAACGUGCAUAGCCCUACUCAGAAAGUUGGUGUCAGCAGCCGUAAAAGCUGGCCUGUCAGCAUUUCUGUUGUAUUUCAUACACAAGAUGCAUGUUACUGAACAAUUACACCGAAGGCGGAGAAUAUUCCUUGGGAACACAACUUGGAAGUAGCAUCUUCCUGUGGGAACAGUUCAGACUGUGUGCUGCAGAAACCUGAGUGGUUUGGAUGCAAGGCCUUGCUGCUGGGGCUCACUGCAAGCUGUGUGGGCUGCCAAAGCCAUAGUGCCACAGCCCAGCCGGGAGCCUCAGCCCAUGUAAUUAGUCAGGUCCUGGUAAUUCUAAUGAGCUUCUGAUCAUGCCAACACAUUCAGUGUGAGGGAAGCUGGGUGAUGCUUAAGUUUUUGGCCUCCGAAGCCUUCGGAGGGUAUAUAUAACUCUAGCUUUGUCUACCGGUCUCAAUGUGUCAUUGUGCUGUAGCCACUUUAAAGGGCAGGAUGGAGAGCUGGGAUGGAGUUCUCAUCUCUGCUUACUGGGAAGCAGAAAUUAAUUAAGGAAAAAGCAAAAACCAAACCCAAAGCAAGCAAAAAGUCAUGCUCAGAGUAGUUAAGGAAGCAGGAGGAAAGGAGCAUAAAAUCCCCAGGCACUCGCUGUUGAUUUGAUCUCUAUCUGUGUACAGGAGCCUGACUAAUUAAUUACAUGUGGCUCCAAGUCUGUUUUCUGGAUCUCUUGCAGACCUCUGGAUGCUGCAGUGAUCCCAGUCGGCACAGAAGCUGCUAUGAUGCUGAGAUGUGUCUUACCACGUGUUGCCCACCUCCCAGCAUAGAGCUGCACAGAGCAGCAGGAUGCAUGAGGCUCUCCCUCCUCAACAGCCCUCAGUGGUGCUCCUAUGGGUUUGGGUGCUCGUGUGAGGCAGUGAGAGGAGUAUGAGGAGUGCUGCGUUCUGCUGGGUUACUGGUGCUGGGCAGAAACUUCAGCCCUAGGGGGGUGUAAGGCCUCAACAUUACUUUAUAGUAUAUGUACAUCUAGGAAACAAGGAACUACCACUAAUAACAGCAAAGUCUGUACCAAGAGCUCUGCAGCAGACAUCUGACCACAGCCGAAGCCACAUUUAAAGCAAGGCAGUGUCUCUGUAAGAGCUAACAUCAGUAUAACAAAGUGAUGCCAGAGGGAACAAGUUAGGAGAAAUGUUUCCAUGGAGUGGUAGUUGGUUUCUUUUCUCUUCCCCCCCGCACCCCUCUCUCCUUUCUUUUCCUUACAUCUUCCUAUUAUUUUUUUCAUCUUCAAUUCGUACUUAAACCUUUCCAACCUUUCUGAGAGUCAGGAGAAUGGUUCUGAGAGUCAGGAGCCCCUCAGAAAAGGUCAGACAACCCAAGUGCACGGCAUUCUGGCUUUCCCAUGGGCCUUCCAGUAGUAUGGCACUCAGUCAAAGCAAACAUGAAUUUUAUCUGUCAGAAGCAAGCUUUAAAGCUCGGUGAUGUGUCUAUAGCUUAAGGUACUUUUACUUUUUUGUGUUGUACAGGUUUUAUUUCUCUCCAUUAAACAUAAGCAGUCUUUUGUUUUCCUUCAUGAACCUGGUCAUUUUUCUAUACGUUUCGAUGAGAAUUGCAUUGGGCUUCUCCCUGCCUUUCGUAGGGCAGCAUUGAUCUUUUUCCAUUUUGGAGAGAGCUGAAUAGAUGGCUAUGUCUAACGAGAGGAGCUUAUCCUUUGUGUUUACAGUUCAUUUCAGGAUAUCUUUCAGUAUGACUGAUCUAUAAAUGCUAAUUGUGGGUGAGGCACGUGGUAGGGGGACUUCUGCAGUCUUGCAGUUUAUGUAUAGGCAAUGCAUAUUGCUCUUCCUAAGGUUAAUAACAGAACUGAUUUUUGUGUGUUGCUCUUCUGAGAGCAACUCAAUCAUUAAUUUUUAGGCAUACGUGCAGGCAGAAUCCUGUUCAUCUCACAAAAUACAAAUAAAUGCUCUGAGGGCUAACUGCAGGAGUUUCUGUAUAAGCUAAAGCUUAACUCUGUAGGACACCACCCCAUCCCCCACCCAGGAACUGAGCGGAUCAUCACGCCCAGCGUUUGUUUUCAACACCACCUUUGUGAAAGCACCUCAGCACAUCUGACUUGCAGGUUGCCUUCUCCCAUGUAGGCUCAUGGUGUCUCACGCUGCCCAGUUAGAGUGCUGGGUACCGUGGGGUUUUCACGACCUUCCUCAUCUGUCUGCAUGUCCUCCCUCGAGUUAUCUGGAAGCUGAGAUGUCUUCUCCACUGGUGUCCUUGAAGUGGGUUAAACUGGAGGACGGAAGCUCCCGAGAGUUUCUAAUGCUGUGGUCUUCCGACAACUCAAAUGAUUUUGGUGACUCAUAAGGAGACACAAAGGCCACCUUUUUCUCUGACUGUGAAAAUCAGAUGGCAAAACCCAACAAAUUAGGCCUGAAAGAACAGAAAAACCUCUCUUUGGUUGCCUGGGAGGGAGGAAAGGAUGGGGAUCAAUGGAUUCACUACAAAAGCAGUCACAAAGUUUCCUUUCUGUCCUGUCAUCCGUAGUGUCUUCAAAAACACUUCUUCCUGAGACAGAGCUUGAACUGGUUCUUUUUCAACUUCAGCCCUUUACGCUAUUACAACUAAUCCCCAGUGGAAAUAUUUCUUUUCCUUUCAUUACUUUUUGUGCGAAUAUUUAUACAGUUAUCUCGCUGUUUCCUUUAAUUUGUAUCCCUUUAGACCAAAUAAAUUUAGUUGCUGUCAUCUUGCUUUCAAAGUUGUAUUCUUAAGUAAUAAAGCAACGUUAAAUAUAGUUGGAAACAGACAACAUGAUGCACCUGAGGCUUCACAAUAAUUCAUGCUUUUGGACACAAUAGUGUCCAUUUUACUAAGACCAGCAAUACACUGCUGUGAAUGAGUCCCUUGUCAGGAGUUUUUGAGCAUUUGAAAUAACAGCUGUCUUUUAAAAUAAUUACGUGUGCGUGGCGUAAAAGCCUAUGUUUGAGAUUUUAUGUAAAUUCUCCAUCCUGUUUUAAAAGUAAUUACAGUGAGAACUUGGAUAUUUAAUUUUUAAACACUGAAUUAAUUUUUUUUUCCUUUUUCUUGUUUGAGCACCGUGCAAUAGCUUGGAAACUCCUGUGACAUCUGACAAGGGACUUCACGGUUCCUGAUGGAACGUGUUGCACGCUCCCUCACAUCCUGCUCUGGCAACAGUAACGCCAUUCAUCCUCCAGCAAGUGGGGCUGGGAGGAAGUCCAGGGAUUAUAGGAUGCAUAAAUUUUUGAAGAUGAGAGAGUUCCUGUGAUUCAUUCCUGGGCUCCAGUGGCCCUGUCUGGACAUCUGGGAUACCUCAGAGAAUCUCAGCGGCACUGGAAGCUACUUCACCUUGAAGCUGGAGUCAGAGAAGAGGACUCUGCUCAACCCUGACUUACUCAAUAGCCUUUACUCUUCUCUUGUCUUUUUGAAGAACGGGUUUGUAGGGACAAGCUGAUAGCAGUCCAUUCCACCUUCAGGAAACCAUAUCUGGUAAAGGAUGGGACUCAUUUCACCUAAUGGUAGAGACCAAAUUCUUAGCUAGUUUACAGUGAGAGUCUAGAUUCCUAGCUUAGAAAUACAAGCACUUUGAGACAGGUUUUGUGAUGAGGAGCUGCCUAGGAUGAGUGAGGUGAUGCUACCUGCUUCUUACUUGUGACUGAAGAAGAAACCUGGGUGACUAAUUUGAACUACAGCCUCAGAGGGUAUAUCUACACGGAGAUAAUCUAGGUAUAUCUACACAAGGAAACCAUAAUGAGCCUGCAAGAGAGCAUAGGGGCACAGCCAGGUAUAGCUUUAGUACACUGCCACUGAAAAUGAGAAUGCAGCUUUGCUGCUGCAUUGAGGUCCAAAGCCAUGCCUUGGGGUGGCUGUAGCUAGGCUGUUGGCUGUAGGGUAUACAGCACUUGGAAAACCGUGCAGCAGGUAAACUCCACUGCAACACUCACCAUAUGGUCCGGGCUAUGGAUCACCAAACUACCCCAUCUUGUUUCAAAACCACCCAUUAAUUAGCACAGUGGCUGUGUAAAACCAUUUUAUGAAGUUCAAUGUGGAUUUGCUUAAAUAUUUGCCCUUUUUCUCAGGUGUUUUUUGUUUUUUUGUUUUGUUUUGUUUUGGUGGGACUUGCCAAGUUCCAUGUUCCUGCUGCACUUUAGGAGUAUUUAGGAUCAUUAGCAUUAAGCUUAACGUGAUCUUUUCUGGGAGGGUUGUGCAAAGCCUGCAACAGACAUACUUCCCUCUCAGGGAGCUAUUUAUGUCUCUUUAGAAAUCCUCAGGCCAAACUGAAGACACCCAUUUCCUCUUUGUGGCAAUAGAAGUUCCCCAGGGAAAGUCCCGGGGCAUUGGCCCUGAGCUGUCAAACCAAACACACAGCACUGCUUCUUCUGAGUACGUGAUGAAUCUCAUGGUUGUGUGAUGGUCUACAAGCCAACUCAUUUUUCUAUUCCUUUUGUCUUCACCUCAUCCUAUGAUAGCUAUAUGUAUAUGUGUAGACAUAAACACACACAUACAUACUGUAAUUGGGAAUGUGGGUGGGCUAUGCUCCUAGUUGUAUUUUAGAAAGCUAAAAUUAGGCUUCUGGUGUUAAAACUACAUACAGUGCCCAGAGCUGUGGUUCAGCUUUGCUUUCUCACUGUUUCCUCAGUAACCAUAGCUACUGCACCUUCAUCACUGUGAGCUUAUUUCUCCGAGAUUCCUUCUUUUAGAAUUACUGGUGUAAUUUCUUACAAAUACCAGCGGAAAGCUCCCAUAACGAACACCCCUCUCUUCCUCUGGCCUCAAUCCCUUUCCUGGCCUAACUUUUCCACCCGUAAAUAAAACCUGCCCCCAGUUUGCUCUGUGCUUGGUUUCCCACCAAACAAAAUUGGUUAGUCACCAAUUUGCCUGUACUCCUUUUGGUUGAUGAGAGCCCUUGAUGCCACCUGUGUCUAACCUCAAGAAAAUAACUAGUGCUCCUGGCUCCUGCUGAGUAUGGUGAUGCUCAGCAGUAAAGCUUAAAAGAUUGAUUAUCCUGAGUCAUUUUCACCAGCUACCAGAGCUGCUAGUAUUUUUUAAAAAUAUAUACUCACAGUGCCUCUCUUCAUAAAAAGUAUGCGAGGAUUUCAGGUCUUUGGCUAGCAGGGGAGCAUAAAUCAUCACAGACACUGUGAUGCUGAUGAUUUGUAUUCUCGUAGCACCUAUUCCAUAGUUCUGAACAGCUACAAAAUACAAGGCAUUCCCUUGCCCCAGAUGAUGGAUAAUCUUGGCAUAGAAGAAGGAAAAUAGCAGAUGGAUAUAGAUGCAUGGGGAGAUACAGUCGGUCUGGGUCGGGAUGAUGCCAGUCUUAGCAACUGUCUAACUGCAGUUGAAUUUUUGAGGCUUUAUGACUGGAUCAUUUCAAAGGAGAGAUACAACAUAAGGAUGACUGUUAUUGUGCUAUCAUAAAAGAAAAGGAGGAAUAUUUUGUAACAUAUCUAAUAAGUAAGGAAAGUCAUUCCUUUUUUGUGUGAUACCUGUUUACACUGUGGACUUCUACGUGAAUAACUCACUGCUGUAGCUGUCACAAUCCAAACCAAUGCGCUGCCAUAAAAACAAAGGCUAGACCAUGACACUUUAUUAUUAUUGUUAUUAUUAUUAAUUUUGACAUAGAACAUGGCUGUCAAAAAUGCUCUGCCUAGGUGAGCAGAAUCCAGUUUAAGAUCAAUGCCUUAGUGCAGGUGACUAUAGCUCUUGGUAGCGCUGCAUACUCCCAUUUCAGUGAGUGUAGAGGGCCUCAGCUAAACAGCCAUCAGCUGUCUGCUCUGCAGUGAGUCAAAUCAUUCUUAGGCUCCCUUAGCUGCAUUGGUUAGGUUGUCAUUGACUAUAGCAGAGCUUGUUGGUUAGAUUUCCCACUGAGUUUUCUUGGAGCUUGGAGGCACAGCCUAAAUUUCCAACCUGUUCCAUCCUGUUGCCCAAUUUCAGGUGGUCUGCUCAAAUGUAUCUGCCAAAUGAGAUGUCUCCAGCUUGGCCAAUAGAUUAUGCUUUUUAGAUGUAGGUUUACUGUAAGACUAGUAUCUUAUCUUGCUGUGCUGGACAUCUCUGAUUCCUCUGAAUACCUCAGAUGUCACCAGACAUCAGAGUUUGGAUGACUAAUUCAACUGUCCUUGCCCUUUAAUGCUUAAGAAGCCUGCUCAGAGCCUGCCAUCAUGAUGUAUGUCUUCACGUUGGUAGUCUCAAGAGCUGGUGUAUGAGCAGUGGGUAAAGGAUGACUUGGUAGCUAUCUCUUUCCUAGUGUUGGAGGAAUGCUCAGCCUAGAUCUAUGCAGAGGUAGCAUCCCACUAGGGACAAAGAAUUUGAUGUGGGAGUGAAAGAAAGCCAGUAGGCAGAGAUCCCACACAGCAUGUUCUCAGUUAAAUGCUUCAGGUUGCCAUGGCUUUUACUACAAUACACUGUCAAUGCUGUAUUCUUAUUUUGAAUGUCUUGUCAUGCAUGUCACAUGAACUGAUCGCUGUCUCUGCACUUUGUACCAGUGACUCAGCUCAGCAGGGAACAGAUACAGCAGGAGCUACCCAUCAGGUAACAGCAAUGUGGCAUCACUGGCAUAGGGGUGCAGUGGGCUUUCUGUAGACUGGGUGCAAACUUUUUCCCUGACACCAGGCAAACUCACGAGCUGCCAGACUCCGUGGUUUGUGCCCUCAUGACAGGGCUGUGGUGUUGAUGUGUCUUUCACUUGCUGUAGUACUUCACAGACCAGGUGAUGGCACCUCACAGAUCUAUGCCGACGUCUAACAGGCACACAAGGUCAACCUUAGGGCUAGGAAACUAAGAGAUCCAUGCUUUGGUCCUGCAUCUUGUGCGUACAGCCCACUGAGGUGAAGACACAUCAUUUUCUUGGUGUUACCAACCUCAUCCACCCUUCUUCACUCUCUAUGCUCAUUUUGCAUGUUAUUUUGUUGCAUUUUGCAUUUAGUUUUGUGGGUAAACAAUGGUGCUGGACUCAUGCACGCUAUCUGACUUGCACCAGUGCUAACACGAGCUGAUCCCAAGUGAGUUACUCAAGGUCAAGGAUGUAGCUUGCUUUCUCUGGUUUUGUACACAGGGCUGUACAAUAAGUCCUUGACUGGGACAAGCAACUUGCUUUAAUACAAGAAAGAAGUUGUUUAUUUGCAAGGAGAGCAAGACUGAUGCUGCUGUUAUGAAAAGCAGGCAUGAGGAAGGAUGUAAAUUUUUCUUCACAUCUAAACUGUAUGAUUUUCUCUAUAUUGUUAUAUUGAUUAGCUUUGCUAACCUUCUCCACUCUUGGAGGAGAUAAAUGCUUGUGGUAGAAGAAUUCUUGGUUACUUCAGCAUACACCUCUUUUGCAAAUGAAAGGAAGUGUUAGAGAAUGAAGAAGCAGCCCUGCAUCAGUGUAUGAAACUGUGUUACAUGCAGAGACAUCCACAGAGGACCAGAACUGUCUGUGUUGGUUUGCUGCCGCGCAGAGAAGCUGCAAUUAUAUUAAUCUAUCCUUUUACUGAAGUGGAAAUAGGAACACUUUCUGAUCAAAGAUUACAAAGACUGCUUUUAAAUGUCAGUUUUUAAAGGACAUUAGCUAUUAAGAGAUGUACUGGAUAGCAUCUCCUUGGUUUUGAGUAUAGUAUGCAAAAAUAAAAUGUAAUGGCUCCUCGUGGCAGGCUGCAUUUAGACUUCGUGGUGGUUUGGUGCUAACUCAGAAAAUCAGAACAAAACUUUAAUUUUUUGUACGUGCAGAGCUGCAGUGAUUCCACAUGCAUUCCUUUCCAUACUACACCUGUCUUACAGAGCAGACAACUUGUGAGGUAUCCUGAUUCCAACAUAUACAUAAUUCUGGAAAAAUAAAAUAAAAAAGAUAUUUUGAUACUAUUUAUGUAGCAGCUUUACUAAAAUUUACUCAGAAUGGUGUCCUCGGGAAAGCACAAUUUUAACCACGUGAAAGGUUGAAAGAGUUUACUAAUCCCAAGAGAAAGAAACUACAGAAACUUGCCAAAUUUAGUUGUUUUAAUUAGAGAUAUUACAGAAAACAGUACGUCAUUUUCUUCCAGAGAAUCAGUGUUCAUUUACUUACAGGAAGGGUAAAAGGUUAUGAAACUUUCCUGAAAGUAUACAAAUACAUUGCAUGAGGAAGACCUUAAAGUUUGUGAAGCAAAGGCAGCACCCUUAGACUAUGUCAUGCCUGGCACUUCUUGUAAAUGACCACUUGGAGUGAUUGCUCCAAGGUGUUGUAAACUGGUUGGGAUGAAGUUGAGGUUCUUCACGAUGGCUCUGUAUGGUGCUGUGUUUUGGAUUUGUAGCUGAAACAGUGUUAGCACACCAAUGGGUUGGUGCUAAGCAGUGCUUGCACAGUAUUAGAACCUUCUCUUUUUCCCACUCAGCCCCCACAGGAAGCGAGUGGGCAGGAGAGUGGGAGGGCAGCACAGCUGGGACAGCAGACCCAAAUGAACCAAAGAAAAGCUGAGGUAGGAGAAGAAAGGGUGGGCCAAUGUUCAGAGACUGGCAGGACAUUGGUCUGCCUGUGCAAUCUCCUGUGUUUCACUUCUAUUAUUCUCUUCCUUUACCUAUUAAAAUGUCUUUCUCUGAACCCACAGGCUCUGUCACUUUUGUUCUUCCUAUGUUCUCCUUCCUUCCUACUAGAUGAAAGGAAUGAGCAAGCAGGCCGCCAUGGUCCUUUUUGAUGCCUAGCAUGGGGCUUGAGAGGUUUCAGACAAGGAGAGAAUGGCACCUUCUCUUUCUCCUCUGGGACAGAAGUUGCCAGUCUUGUGCAAUGACUCUUUAAGUUCUUGGGCAUCCCUGCACAACAAGGGCUGUCACACCAGUAUGGGCCAUGAAUAUGACUUUGUCUUUGCUUAAGAAUAAUCAACUAGCAGGGAAUAUGGCACAGGAAUCUGCUCAGAAGCAGCCUGGGUGACAAAGAGGGAAAGACAAUCUGGAUUCUGUCCUAGGUCCGGCUAGGAUGGAGUUAACUCUCUUCAUAGCCACCUAUGUGGUGCAGUGCUCUGGAUCUGUGACUAAAGCAGUGCUGGUAGCACCCUAAAAACCAUACAGCAGCUGGUAUGCCAACACAGUUGGACAUCAAAGUGCCAUCAGGUCUCCAAAGAAGUAUCUCCAAAGGACUGAACCAAAACCAAUGGGAAUUCAGGACCAUCUUUAAGCAUACGUCAGUGUGUUCCAGGCCAUCCUGGUAGGGCCCUGUUUACUGAUAGUUUUCAUCGGCUCCUUGUGCCAUCUUGUAAUUUACAGAUUAACCUAAAGAGUCCUCUUUUGCAGUGGGACACCAGUAGUGGUGGUAAUACUUGAUUAUCAGGUGUGUAAUAUAACUUCCUAAUUAAGAAACUGGUGCACAUGGGUCACUAGUGCUCGAAACGGUCCUUAUGCUUUGUUUUGCAGUUUGUGCUGUACUUUUGCAGCCAUAUAAACCUGUAGGUGAUAACAUCAUAGUUAGCUUACAAUAAUUUAUGCUUGGAUGAAGUCCUGAAGCUGUACUGCUAUAGACAAAAUCCCACAGUUGGCUGUAUUUUGAAUUUACUAGCCAUCUCAGACAGAUAGACUAACUCCGGAAGCAUGGAAUCAGUAAUCAGUAAUCAUAGAAUCAUAGAAUGGCCUGAGUUGAAAAGGACCAUAAUGACCAUCUAGUUUCAACCCCCCUGCUACGUGCAGGGUCGCCAACCACCAGACCAGGCUGCCCAGAGCCACAUCCAGCCUGGCCUUGAAUGCCUCCAGGGAUGGGGCAUCCACAACCUCCUUGGGCAACCUGUUCCAGUGCGUCACCACCCUCUGUGUGAAAAACUUCUUCCUAAUAUCCAACCUAAACCUCCCCUGUCUCAGUUUAAAACUAUUCCCCCUUGUCCUAUCACUAUCCACCCUCGUAAACAGCUGUUCCCCCUCCUGUUUAUACGCUCCCUUCAAGUACUGGAAGGCCGCAAUGAGGUCUCCCCGGAGCCUUCUCUUCUCCAAGCAUCAGCAAAUACAUUACAUUCUCAAUUAAUUCACUACUGCAGGUCUUGUGAAGGGCUUGUUUCUGCCUAUGUUUAAAGGAUGCUUCCUUUUUUUUUUAACAAUGCAUUUUGUAAAAGUAGUACAGAGUCCAUCUGGCAGCAAUUCAUUUCAUUCACUUUUAAGUCUGCUAGCUUAGCCAUCUUGUUUUCCUAAACUUCUCCAGUGGUUAAAGAAGCAAGGACCUUUUCUUGGUCCUUUUUCACUUCUUCACUUUAUCUUUUAUUAGAAGAUAGUGAGAACUGACAGCAGACCUGUAGUGCAAAACAGUCAGUGCUGAGGACCUGGCCCUUACAAUAUGAAUAUUUUGGAGACCUUUUUCUUCUUGAGACUAGCCCUCGUCUACUCCUAUGGACUGAAUGCCCACUGCACCCGGAGUGGAUUAUGUGCACUCCUGUACUUUAUCUUCCAGACUGUUUUAUCUAAAAAAAUUAGGUUAAUAUGUGCUUUGAGACUGUGUGAAUCAUAAUGUGAACCAAAGCCCAGUAGGUGGAAGGAAUGGAAGGUUAGUGGUAAAAGCAUUCUUCUGAUCCAGACUUACACACUGAUAGAGAUGCACUCUCAAAGAAAAAGAAAGAGAGACUUCUUCAGUCCUAAGUUUAAAUGUUUGUGUUAGGAUUAAGUGAAUAAUGACCUAAAAGUUCCAGUUUCUCUCCAGGAGACUCUGAGCAAGUAGUUAGAGGCACACAUGCUGAAAAUGUCUGAUGUUGCAUGGGAAGCCAACAUCUUCUUUCUGUAUCUGAGAGAGAUGACAGAGAUGUACUUGAGGAUUCCUUUUGAGUUCUAUUUUGUUAUGCUUUUUGCUGUUGGGGGUUUUUUUGUUGUUGUUGUUGCUUUUUUUUUUUUAAGUCAAAUUGAAUCACUUCUCAUUUUCCAUCAUUUUCAUAGCCAGUAUGCUAAUCAUGAUUUCUUUCACAAAUUUUAUUCAUUUCCUGAUGUUUUCUUCCUGGCUCAGAACGUCUCACAAACACAUCAACCAUCACCAGCUUUCACCCCACCAUCUGAGCGCCAACCUCAUUAAAUCUCAGGACUGCAUAAAGGAAUACUGAUGCUGGAAGGAGGUUUAAAUCAUAUAUUGGUGGAUAGCUGACGGCACUGAGAGCCUGUGGUCUGUGAACAUACUGAAUUAUCAAGCUCCUUAAAGAAGUAAUGAAUACUGCUCAUACUAUCUGCAACAAGCAUUCCUUUGUAAAACAGAUGAAAGAGCACACCAAAGCCAUGAUAGUGGAGCUGUGUCUGCUGAAAAAACAGUGCUGAGGAUGAUUUCUCCUACUCGACACUUUUAGACCUAAAACUAUGCUGUGGGAUUUGGUUUUGGUUUGUUUGCUUGCUUGCUUUUGGCAUGCUCUCAGAACUACAGAUUAUUUGGCAGCUGAAGGCCAGCUAUGAGUUGUGUUGCAGGGUGACACAUUUCAUGGAAAUUUAAUGCAAAUAGCAAUCAUUCUCAUCAGGAGCAGAAACAGGAGAUCUCUCGCCUUUCUAGCAACUGCAGACACCUGCAUGAGAGUGAACUGCAUGAGAGUGAAUUGCUUGUGUCAAGCCAGCUGCCUUACAAAACAUCCAGCACAAUGGAUGCUUUUUACGACCAACAAACUUAAAAUUACAGCUCUUGUAUGCCUGGAAACCUUUAUUUCAUUUUCAUACUGUUUCCUUUGAAGAAUUUAUUAAUGCAUGCAAACAUGUAGCGUGUUCUUUUAACCUGUGUUUGCUGCAAUGUUUACAUUAUCUCCUGAUCUUAACCUGUAGCUUCCCAUUACGAAGACAUGUUACCAUAAAACACCACAAGGCAAAAAAAUGCCAUUGUUUUAAUGUUCUGCAAGUGUGCUACAAGUAAACUGUGCUGUACUGAACUCGGUCAAAAUACUCAAUGCAUUCUGAGCACACUACCACCAAUAUAUUGGUGGCCCACUUUGCCACACGCAGAAGGACAAUGAUGUGCUUAUUGACUCAUCUCUUUAUUCUGAACAGAGGGAACUCACUUGGAUGCCACUGGUCCAUUCAGCCCGGCCAAACACUGGUUUAAAAAACAGUGAUGUCUUUCCCAAGCACAUCAGAGGCUGCCUGUACUGUACAGAGGCUGCAAAGGGUUCAGGCUGUACUACGGGAUGUUACAAAGAUAAGCAAGCUGAUUUUGGAAUAUUGCACACACUUACCGUAUUCAGAUGAUUUUAGUUACUGCACCAGACUCCUAAAGUGAAUAUUCUUUAGGAUUACUUGUUAAGGCAUAACUCAGCUUGCCCAUAUCAGAAGAGUUUUCUAUACUUUGUUCACUCUUCAGCAUCACCUGCAGUAGUAUUACAGCUCUUCAACUUGCCACCUUGCAUGCUCCAUUCAGGUGACAAGAACACUUAAUGGCACUGAGCAGAUAAAGGGCUGGAGGGCUUUUACAGGCUCUACUAAAGUGCUUUCUUCAGACUAGAAGUGCACAAUACCACGGUGAUAAGGCUGUCCUGUGCUGAUCUAAGGAAGCCUCUGAUAAGGAAUAUAAUAGGAGCAAUAGGUAAGAUUAAAAAAAAAAAAACUUUCAUUCCAAAAACUGUGUAUCUGUGUAUACCAACUGCUUACAGAGUUUUCUCUGAAGCUCAUGUUUGCAAAGUGUUGCAUGCUUCAGCUCCAUCUUAAAUGGUUUCAUGCCACAAACUGUGGGCCAUUUAUUGCUCAUCACUCCAAAGCCAUUGAACUCUUCAGCUGGGCAGUCUGCUCUCUCCAGCCUUCCUACUGAGAAUAAACAAGAAAUUGGCAGGGAUGGGGAGAAGGGGACAUCAAAGAGUGCCAGGAAGGGCCAACACAGAACAGCCCUACCCUAUGCAGCCAGGGACUGGGCUGGUGUUUUAGCACUAUGCACAAUAGUUUAGCUAUGUGAAUCAGCCCACACAGCUGUAAAAAUCACUGGACCCGUGAUAAGAAAAUGAAAGACAGUACUGUUGAUGGUUUCUGGGUUCACUUGUUUGCUUUUAUAUCUCACUCUCUGUAUAGCUGCCUUAAUCACAAGCUAAAAGCCUUGUGAAGGAUCAGCGACCUAAAU